GGGGGCGAAAUAGGUUUCGACAGGGAGAAAUUGGGAUAGAGUUGCCUGCCGAGUUUGUCAGGUUCUCGUAAAAAAACCUGACAAAAAAUAACUGCCGCACCUGCAAAUGUUUUGGCUGCAUAAGAAUGCAGCCACCUGUUUACAGAGUUUGCCCCUGACUCUGUAAAACAGGUCGGGUAAAGGGGUAUUUCCUUUGAAGGUUAUCCUUUUUCCUUCAAAGGAAAUUAUUUAAAAAGGAUGCGGGUAAAAAGGCUUGUCAGAAGUGCCUUUUUACCCAAAGAAUAAACUUCUGACUACGCAGGUAGAAACUCUAUCUUAAUUCUCUCUGGACGCGGGGGCAGUACCCGCCGCCUCCACUA
rnacentral:tmRNA from 1 species